rnacentral:rRNA from 1 species
CGUGCGUAACACAUGCAAGUCGAACGAAGCAGAAUGAUGCUUGCGUCUUUUUGACUGAGUGGCGGACGGGUGAGUAACGUGUGGAGAACCUACCUUACACAGGGGGAUAACGGCUGGAAACAGCUGCUAAUACCGCAUAAGCAUACAGCUUCGCAUGAAGCCGUGUGAAAAGAAAAAUCGGUGUAAGAUGGCUCCGCAUCUGAUUAGCUAGUUGGUGAGGUAAUGGCUCACCAAGGCAACGAUCAGUAGCCGGCCUGAGAGGGCGACCGGCCACAUUGGGACUGAGACACGGCCCCGACUCCUACGGGAGGCAGCAGUGGGGAAUCUUGCACAAUGGGGGAAACCCUGAUGCAGCAACGCCGCGUGAGCGAAGAAGUAUUUCGGUAUGUAAAGCUCUAUCAGCAGGGAAUAGAAAAGAAGGUACCUGACUAAGAAGCCCCGGCUAACUACGUGCCAGCAGCCGCGGUAAUACGUAGGGGGCAAGCGUUAUCCGGAUUUAUUGGGUGUAAAGGGAGCGUAGACGGCUGUUUAAGUCAGAAGUGAAAGCCCAUUGCUUACCGCUGGGAUUGUUUUUGAAACUAAGGAGCUGGAGUGCAGGAGAGGUAAGUGGAAUUCUUAGUGUAGCGGUGAAAUGCUUAGUGAUUAGGAGGAACACCAGUGGCGAAGGCGGCUUAUUGGACUGUAACUGACGUUGAGGCUGGAAAGCGUGGGGAGCAACCAGGAUUA